rnacentral:lncRNA from 1 species
AUGCUGCGCACUGCGAUCCACCCUGCUUCAGAUCCACCUUGCUGUGACAGCUUUGUUCCACAACGUAUUCCUGCAUUUCUUCAAUGGUUGUUGAAAGUGGGACAAAACCGGUUGUCUGGGAGCCAAAGUGUGCAUCCAGACCUCUCCACCCCUGCGCGAGCAGCCAGCUCACCGAGCGAGGAUCCCCCUGGUUCUCCUUCUGAACUCGUGUACCUUAAACUUCUGUCAGCACAGCAGACUUGCUUCCACAGGUUGGGUAUAAAAUAUUUCCUGCUCAGCUUAUGGCAUCGUGCUUUGAGCAUUUUGCUGUACUUAGCAUCCAUAUGUAAUAUAUUUUUCAAAACAGUUUUUCAGGGAAGGUGAGUGAAUGUGUGUGUUCUUAACCUCACUCAAUGGACAAAAUGGACUCCAGGUUUUGCAUCUCAUUUAUCCACAAUAAUAGUGAUGAAAUCAAAAAUCCAAUUAAAGAUUUUUUUUUUAAGUAAGGUCCAUUCGCAAUCAAAAACUGCAACUAGUAGUUGUUCUGACGCAAUCACUGUUCCCUAAAAAAAUGGAUCGUUACCUGACCACAGGCAUCUCCAGAACUUCUCAGCAAUAUCUGAACUUUACUGUAGUUGGAUGAUGCUCUUGAAUGUUCUGAGGAAACAGCAGUAGAUGGGGGGGGUUGUUUUAUUGAAUUUGAAAAACAAGCAUCUCAACUAAAUGUAUUUUAUAUUUAAUUAAUUUCAAAAGUUGUAACUCUUAUUUUCUAAUUCAGAUCUCAAGGAUUAAUGUAUUUUUCAACUCAGAUAUUAUCAGACAGCGUUAAAGUAAUAUUUCUUCUCCUUGGUAAGCACAAAACAAAAUUGAAGAAAUUCCCAAAACACAGUCAAUGCUCUACCUGAGGGUUGAAUAACGAGGCCCCAACUUUACACACAAAAGGCUCGCUGCCACCAGAGGGGCACAUUGCCUAACCCCACUCAGUUCCCUCACUCCUGCGCACAAGCAGAAACCUCACUGCCAAGCUGAUUUUGGUAUCUUUAUACCAUGCUGACGUUCAAAAUGCUGAAAGCUUUUUCAUCUCCGGUGUGCUGAAAAUGCAUCUGGUUCUAUAAAAAACGGUAUUCUGUAACACAACUGGUUAAAAUCUUUAGGACAACUUAUAAUCAGAGAACGUAAAUAUUUCAAACUGAUUAGGGGAAGGCAACGUCUAUAGUUUGUUUUCUUUAAGAGUUUCUUCUGCUACAAAAUUGGAAAACAAACAAGCAACAACCAAACCAUAAAGACAUUACAAAAUAGCAAACAACAUUCAGACAGGAACUUCAAAACAAUCAGGAAGCAUUAAGCAGUGCAGUACUAGCCUCCUAAUGACAGGAUUUAUUAC